AUUAAAAUGGUUUUUAGAGUGGGAAAUGUUUACAGCGAUGGAAUUAAAUUUUGGAAAACGGCUACCUUUUGUAUAAUGGUUUAAUUAUAAUAUAAAUAAUUUUUUUUUCCCGAAGUGAGAAGAUCUACCUAGUUACUUUUUGUAGAAUUAUUUCUUAUGUGGCAAUAUGGGAGAAAGAUAAUUAGGUAGGGGCGAAAUACUUUCAAUUCUCAGGGUAUCUGGAUUCUUGGGAAACGCAUAUAGUGCUGAAACAAGGUAUGAGAUGCUUAGGUCUCUUACUAACAAUAUAAAAGAUGAUUUAUUAAGUUGGCUUAAUACCCUUAGUUGAUUACAAAAAAAGAUUUAUUUCAUGGAAAUUUGUUGUAUACCAGGAAUUUUUAGAAAAUUUGUUCUAAAAUUUAUAAUGUUAAAAUUAGUAAUAAUAUUAAAUAAGCCUAAGGAACUCGGCAAAUCGAAACUUGGACUGUUUAACAAAAACAUAGCCACAGGCUUAUAUUUGUGGUUCAACCUGCCCUAUGAAUUUUAAAUGGCCGCAGUACUCUGACUGUGCUAAGGUAGCGUAAUCAGUUGGCUUUUAAAUGGAGUCGGGAAUGAAUGGGAAAACCGGGUUUAGCUGUCGAGGCUUACUUACUUGAAUUUGCUUUUUAAGUGAAAAAGCUUAAAAGAAAAAAAAAGACGAGAAGACCCUUAGAACUUUAAUUAUAGAACAUCUAACGUUUUUAUUGGGGCGAUAAAGAAACAUUGAAACUUUCUGUAAAAACAAGCCGAUUUUAUUAUGGGAGAAUAAGUUACCUGAGGGAUAACAGCAUAAUUUUAUAAUUAAGUUUGUGACCUCGAUGUUGGACUAGGAAACUAAUAGGCUAGCCGUUUAUUAUGUGAGUUCUGUUCGAACUAUUAUUCCUACAUGAUCUGAGUUCAGACCGGCGCAAGCCAGGUCAGAUUCUAUCUUUUUAUUUUGGGGCGCUAGUACGAAAGGACCGAGCCACAUUUA
rnacentral:rRNA from 1 species